CUGUUCUUGGCAAUAGCCAGUCUAGCUAGAAAGAGCAAUCUGUCAAGUCUAAUUAGAGUAGAAGAAAGUGAACAAUGAGCGCCCAGCUCUAAAAUGACAGCCCAGUUUAAUGGGGGCAGAGGAGCUUGGGAGGGAUGUAUGCUUUGUGUGCUUGGAAUUGGUUCCUUCAAAUGGAUCCUUUCUGAACUCAAACUGCAGAACAACUUAAACUGGAUCCUUAUUUACUGCACCAGAAAUCUUCAGGUCUCUGUGCUUUUUAACACAUGCACAUCCAGCAAAAGCAGAGGAGAACCUGGCUCUGUUUCAAAGACUCUUACAGGAGUAGAAAGCGGCUCGCGAAAAUUCAGCUGUGGUGCCAUCUGCUGGACGCACCGCGACGCUGCAAAUCCCUGCCGGAGUAGUAGAGGUCGCGUUGGCUGCAGGUGAUGGCCCAGUUUUUUGCCCAAGAAAGUCUCUGGCACCAAGUAUAUGAACACUGUCCCUUGUGUCCAGUAUAAAUAAGGGGAGCUGCGGAGGGAACAGGGUAAGCAAGCU